rnacentral:rRNA from 6 species
AGUCAUAUGCUUGUCUCAAAGAUUAAGCCAUGCAUGUCUCAGUACAAGCCAAAUUAAGGUGAAACCGCGAAAGGCUCAUUAAAUCAGUUAUGGUUCCUUAGAUCGUACCCACACUUACUUGGAUAACUGUGGUAAUUCUAGAGCUAAUACAUGCAAAUAGAGCUCCGACCGGAGACGGAAGGAGCGCUUUUAUUAGAUCAAAACCAAUCGGUGGCGGCUUGCCGUCACCGUACUCCUUGGUGACUCUGAAUAACUUGUUGCUGAUCGCACGGUCUCGAACCGGCGACGCAUCUUUCAAAUGUCUGCCUUAUCAACUGUCGAUGGUAGGUUCUGCGCCUACCAUGGUUGUAACGGGUAACGGGGAAUCAGGGUUCGAUUCCGGAGAGGGAGCCUGAGAAACGGCUACCACAUCCAAGGAAGGCAGCAGGCGCGCAAAUUACCCACUCCCGGCACGGGGAGGUAGUGACGAAAAAUAACGAUACGGGACUCAUCCGAGGCCCCGUAAUCGGAAUGAGUACACUCUAAACCCUUUAACGAGGAUCAAUUGGAGGGCCAGUCUGGUGCCAGCAGCCGCGGUAAUUCCAGCUCCAAUAGCGUAU